CCUACGGGGUGCUGCAGUGGGGGAUAUUGCACAAUGGGGGGAACCCUGAUGCAGCGACGCCGCGUGGGUGAAGGAGUGCUUCGGCAUGUAAAGCCCUAUCGGCAGGGAAGAAGCAAGACGGUACCUGACUAAGAAGCCCCGGCUAACUACGUGCCAGCAGCCGCGGUAAUACGUAGGGGGCAAGCGUUAUCCGGAUUUACUGGGUGUAAAGGGAGCGUAGACGGCAAGGCAAGUCUGGAGUGAAAGCCCGUGGCUGAACCACGGGACUGCUUUGGAAACUGUGUUGCUGGAGUGCAGGAGGGGUAAGCGGAAUUCCUAGUGUAGCGGUGAAAUGCGUAGAUAUUAGGAGGAACACCGGUGGCGAAGGCGGCUUACUGGACUGUAACUGACGUUGAGGCUCGAAGGCGUGGGGAGCAAACAGGAUUAGAUACCCUUGUAGUC
rnacentral:rRNA from 1 species